rnacentral:rRNA from 1 species
GACGAACGCUGGCGGCGUGCUUAACACAUGCAAGUCGCACGGUAAGGCCCUUCGGGGUACACGAGUGGCGAACGGGUGAGUAACACGUGGGUGAUCUGCCCUGCACUUCGGGAUAAGCCUGGGAAACUGGGUCUAAUACCGGAUAGGACUCCGGACUGCAUGGUCUGGGGUGGAAAGCUUUUGCGGUGUGGGAUGGGCCCGCGGCCUAUCAGCUUGUUGGUGGGGUAAUGGCCUACCAAGGCGACGACGGGUAGCCGGCCUGAGAGGGUGACCGGCCACACUGGGACUGAGAUACGGCCCAGACUCCUACGGGAGGCAGCAGUGGGGAAUAUUGCACAAUGGGCGCAAGCCUGAUGCAGCGACGCCGCGUGAGGGAUGACGGCCUUCGGGUUGUAAACCUCUUUCAGUAGGGACGAAGCGCAAGUGACGGUACCUACAGAAGAAGGACCGGCCAACUACGUGCCAGCCGCCGCCGUAA